ACAUGUCGGAUGUCCGUCGUGUACUCGGAGAUGUAGGACAGAUGUUGCUGCUGGCGGGACGACCAGGGGUCGGACACCUUAGUGAACGCAAAGCUCCUCAGCAAUGAAGCUGCCCAUGGCUGCAUGAAGCAAGACCCAGACAACAUUCAGACAUGAACUAACCCAUGGCAUUCACAGCAGAACAAAAAUAGAGUCAAUGGAAGAACUACAUACAAAAUACUGACAAACAACCAAUAACCAAAAGAAGACAACUGGACAAAUAUGAAAACGGAACAAAUAAUAAUAAUAGCAAUGUGUAAAAAUAA